AGGCGACCCUGCCCCGCCGGACUCCCGCUGCCUGGGAUCGUCCCGGGAGCGACGGCCGGCCGGUGGUCUUGGACGUGCGGGGGUCUGCGAGGGCUUUUUCGCGGCUGCCACCUUCUCUGUGGCGGAAGCCUGGAUGGCGGCCCCCCAGCCCUUGCGCCUUUGAGGCUCGACCCUGGGCGUCCCGGCGUGCGCGGGCGGGCGGGCUCCGGCCCCUCCGGCGCUGACCCGGCGGCUGGGAUGCCGCAGGGCCGCGCAGCUUAGGCCCGGUCCACUGAGGAGCCCGGCUCUGCUCGAGAGACUGGCUCAGACUCGAGUUCGGGCAGGGAUGUGACUGAGGCAGUGGCGGGCCAAGAAACGAGUGCCCAGGAGUGGUCCCAGGCGUGGCUUCCUGCAGCUUCCUUGCGAGUCGAGUCAACGCUUAGGCUUGUUUGACCAAAGAAGGGAAAUGGGCAAUAGGGACUCUGUGUACUAUGCUUAUUUCCUGAAAAGAUUGUUACUUGAAUAGUUGCAGACUGAAAGAAAACAGAUUUCGGUUAAAAAAAAGGAAGAUAUUCCCAGAGGAAGAUUAGCCCUGAGGUAACAUCUGCUGCCAGCCCUCUUUUUUUGGCUGAGGAAGACUGGCCUUGAGCUAACAUCCAUGCCAUCUUCUUCUGCUUUAUAUGUGGGAUGCCUGCCACAGCAUGGCUUGACAAGUGGUGCAUAGGUCCGCACCUGGGAUCCAAACCUGCAAACCCUGGGCUGCUGAAGCGGAACGUGCAAACUUAACCGCUGCGCCACCGGGCCAGUCCCUGUAUGUCUGGUGGGGAAGUAAAUCUGGUCCUUGUUUCUCUGUCUUGGCUUCUGCAAAUGGAGGUCCAAAUGUCACACCCAUCUGGAACACUUAUCACCCAAAACCAUUGAAUAUUGAAACUCUUAAGUUAGGUUGCAUACUGUUGAACUCACAUCCAAUUGAUUCCAGGCGAAGACAGCUAUUUUCUUGUCUUUACAUCCCUACAGACUUAACCAAUAGCCUGGUGCUUGGCUGACACUCAGUAAAAGCUGGCGAAUGAAUAAACUAUUUUGAGCAAACAGCUGUCCAUCUGCUUCUGGUGUUUUCUUCCAACAUUUGUUGGACCAGGGUGAUGACGUACUUUGAGCUGACAUCAUCACCAGGAAGUCAGGGAAGGUGACCUUUUAACAGUCCUCGCUUUGCAGACGAAGAGGGGCUUUUCAGAAGCAGCUGCCUUCCUUAGAGAGGCAGAGAGAAAUGCCAACUAAAAGAAAUGCAUAGGAGUCUGGCUGGGGCUUGAAAAAAAUCUGAGCAUUUUCUUCAAGAAAAUUAAAUGAUGCAAAGAUUACAUUAAGAUAGUCUGUUGUAUAAUAAAAUUGUUGCAGUCUCAGGAUGAAAUCAGACUGACUAACUGACCUAAAUUGUGUGUCACCUGGUUGAGUGGAUUGAAGGAGAGCUCUGUCCAUUUCCUGAAUUCUCCUUUUCUUUGUUAGAUGAUCAAGCAGAAGUUUUCUGUGCCCUCUCCUGGCUUGACUUUGAAACUGCAUAACAGUGAUACUCCCAACUUCACUGCUUAGGACUUUCCUUAGACAAAUUCCUGCUCUCCCCUCCCUUUUGCCCUAGAAGGGUCAUUUUGGACCAGAGAGAGACAGACGGGGCCAAUUACUUGGCGUGUGGAUAAAAGUGGUCGGAUGAUUCAGGCUCCAGAUGGCCAUUCAGCAAGCUGAAUAGAGAGACUGAACGACCAAUCUCGUGUUCAAAUGAGGACAAGGAAGGUAAAGGUGACCGUUGAUGAGGUAACAAGGGGAGUGGGGUGUCACAGAAAGCCCCUAGAUGGGCGUCUCGGGGAGGCUGGAGUUGCUGCAGGAUCAUUUCUGAGCCUCCACAAGCACAGACAAGUUCAAAGUGUUGACUCCUGAGGAGUCCUUGCAUCAUUCUCCAGGCCAAAGGGAAUCCAAGCAGACCGCUGAAACAUACACGGUGUUUACUUCAUCCGCUUUGGCUGUCACAGUUUUUUGGCUGAAAUAGUAAUCACCCGAGAGCUGCUCUCCACAGCUUCCAGAAGAUCUGUUCAAACACUGACUCGCUUACCAAAUGUUUAUUGUAUCACUUGUUUUUUACAAGGCACCGCCCCCCCCCCC
ensembl:lncRNA